UGGCGGCGACGCAAUACUGUGAUAACUUUCCUGGCAUGUUUGGCGCGUGUGGCCUCACAGAGGCAGCUGGGGAGCCUGCAGACUCAGUUUACCAGGACUUCAUAGAAUCAAAGAAUAAGAAAACAUUGUACAGGCAAACAGCAGUCUAAAAAUCUACAGAGACACAAUCUUAGCUGAUACAUAAAAGUGUCACCCUGGGAUGUUUUGGCGAUGGUCCCGAGACAGGUGACGGCAUGUUCUAUUCGAGGAGGCGGUGAACCGCAUGGGCACAGCCCUGCCUGCCCCACCCGGCCCCGCACGGUUUUAUUUCCUCCUCUUUGGACUCUACUGUAGGAACCAGCACUUCACUCCCUCAGAUCCCUGGUGGACGAGGUAAAAGGUGCAAACGCAAAUCGGUCAGUUUGCAGUUUGCCGUCUAUUUUGAUUUAAAAGAUGGUUCCAGGUUUUGCACGAACGACUAGUAUGGAAUUCUCUGGAUCUUGGCUUUGGAGGGUGUCUCUACAUCCUGGUAUGCAGGUUAUCACCGGUUUGCCUCUCCAGGAUUUCGUCUGCUUUGUAUGACCUUCCCUGAGAAUCUGCUCCUCCUCUUGUGAGCCUGGAAAAACUGCUCUUGUUAAAUAACAAAAGGACUCAGUGCUGGGGGAGUUUAUUCUCUGGCAUCCUGUCAAGGACUGAGCUGUUUAACAUCAUCAGCAGUGAGACUGGAACAUCCCACUCCUGCCUGGAGGUGUGAGCUACGUGAGCUCUUUAGCACCGAGAAGUAGCCUCGUAUCCAACCCACUUGCAGAUUUCAGACAAUUUCAGGGCUUUUCCUACAACACAACAUUCCUCAUUUAUCUUAACUUUAAAGUUUCCAAGGAAACAGGACCCUUAGUCUGUUUUUCAGCCCUGACCUGCUGAUGACUCCUUGACACACAGCCCUGCCUUGCCCCCAUCAAAACAAUUCUUCGUUUCAAUUUUACCUAAACUUCCCCCCUUACAAAUCCUUCCCUCCUCCAGGGAAAUGCCCAGCGGUUCUGGUUUUGGGCCCCCCUGAGGCAGCCGGUUAGGAAGCUGCCUCUCCCUGGGGUCUUCAUCAGACGGGCUUUCUCGCUGUGUCUGCCCACCACGCACCACUUUCUAAUCAUAUGCUUAUUUAGACACAUUUCUCCAACUAGACUGAACGUAGUGUCAAGUGUAGCGUCCGCAUUUAUCGGCUUAUUUGCAAAUCACACUUACUAUCUGGCACCUGGUAGUCAUUUAAAUUGUUUAUGAACAGAUGAACACAUGAACAGUAGGAAAAGUGUUUUUUAAGUUACAAAACAGAAAUGAUAACUAAGGGUCCUGGAAGUAAAAACACUGACUCUGUUAAUUUUGUUACAUUUUUAUGUAUAAUUUCGGCUGCUUUUUAUUGAACUGUUCCAUUCGGUGAUUAAAAUAUCACUGGGACAGGUUUUAACUUUUUUUUCUAGCUAUCGUUUUUCAUGAUAUAUUAAAGUAAAAUGUAUUUGAUAUAUAAGUAUUAUUACUAGCGUCUGUUGAAUUAUUUCAAAGUGAUCGUAACAGCGCUAGCUUCUAGCCAACAUCAGAAACACAAUGGCAAUGAGUAGAUGAGGAGGCUUAGAACAGGUGCAGACAGGCUGGGCUUUCAGGGAUGAAGAACUCUUAUAUCUGCUUUGCCACUGAGUUUCUUUUUUUUAUUUUUUAAAUACAAAACAGUUAUUUAAACUCUGUUGUAGCUGGGGCCAGCAAUCUGUGGGCUGCCCUGUGUUUUUAUGAAUCCAGUUUCAUUGGAACACAGCCAUGUUCAUUCACUGACAUGUUAUCUGUGGCUUCUUUCAAAAUACAAAGGGAGAGUCGCCAUACAGACCACAUAACCUGCAGAGCCUGACAUUUUUGCUGUCCGGCCCUUUAUAGAAUACACAUGGACUAGAUGAAAAAUAAUCAUUUUAAAUUAUUAUAACAUUUGCUUUCAAAAUGCAGAUGUGUAGAAGCACAGAUACACAUAUGCACAUAAUAUUUUGGUAUAUUUUAAUUUCUUAAUUGCAUUAACAAAUUUUAUUAAAUAAAUUGAUUAAAAAUGAACAAAAACUUAAUGGAGAAAGUUUCUCCAUGAAAAUAAAGAAAAAUGUAUCCAAUUUUCUGUAAAUAUCAAACAAGUAGCAAAUCUUCUCUUUUGUUAGAACCUGAGGUGUGACUGUUGCCAAAAGCCAUCCUGCCCUCUCCGGACCCCCCUCUACCUGUUGGAUUCUGCCUGUAUCUUCCUCACCUGGUACCAGGAGUAGGCCCGGUCCGAGGGGUCGAUAAGAAUGGUGAUGAUCUUGGCUUUGGGGACCAGAGAGGCUGCUCUUUUAGGUGCUUCCUCGGAGUGGAAGUAGUUGGCACUCUUCUCAAACAGGAAGUCCGUGGUGGCAUUCGACGGGACUGGGAAGAAAUCCAUAUACCUAGAACAGGAAUAUUUUCCUCAAAAUAAGACUCUAGUUUAUACUCAUAUCCUGGUGACUGAACAUGUUAAAGUUGUCCCCCAAAUUCAUUUGUCUCCUAAACAAAAAAACCUUCUCCUUGGGGCAUUUGUCCCUCUUUGUUAGCAAGGGGGAAAUAUCCAGAACACUAAUAAUGGAGUUUGAAGAUGUUUUUGUAAAUACAUUUUCUUUUUGUUUUGUUUAAUAUCAAAAACGACACAGAGAUAACAAAAAUGCAGACACAGAGUGAUCAAACUGCAGCAAUACUCAGCCUAACUAUAUAAAAUGUAUCUAAAUGCAGAAAUACUGUACAGAGAAAAAUGUAAGUGCUGGAAAAGAAGAUUUGAUUAAAACAAAUUAUUAAUCUACUA